rnacentral:rRNA from 1 species
ACCUCGCGCCAUUAGAUGAGCCGUAGGUCGGAUUAGCUAGGUUGGUGAGGUAAUGGCUCACCAAGGCGACGAUCUGUAACUGGUCUGAGAGGAUGAUCAGUCACACUGGAACUGAGACACGGUCCAGACUCCUACGGGAGGCAGCAGUGGGGAAUUUUGGACAAUGGGCGCAAGCCUGAUCCAGCAAUGCCGCGUGCAGGAUGAAGGCCUUCGGGUUGUAAACUGCUUUUGUACGGAACGAAACGGUGAGCUCUAAUACAGUUUGCUAAUGACGGUACCGUAAGAAUAAGCACCGGCUAACUACGUG